rfam:Felis catus isolate Cinnamon breed Abyssinian chromosome F2, whole genome shotgun sequence.
GCCUGAGUGGCUUAGUUGGUUAAGCCUCUGACUUUAGCUCAGGUCAUGAUCUCACGGUUUGUGGGUUCCAGCCCCACACUGGGCU